GGGGAGCGAGCGGGGGGGGGGGGGUUGCCAGGAGCGCGCGUGCGCACGGCCAGGCAGCCUGGGCGGCGGGUCCUGCCAGUGACGGACGGCGGCGGCCGGUCCUGCUUGUGACGGCGGUGGCGGCAGAUCCUGCCUGUGACUGCUUCGGUGGCUGCUCCAGACACCUGCGGCGGCGCCGGCGGCGACCCCACGGCGGCCGCGAUGUGGCCCCUGGUGGUGCUGCUGCUGCUGGGCUCGGCUUGCUGCGGUUCGGCUCAGCUAAUAUUUAACAUAACCAGAUCUGUAGAAUACACUGCUUGCAAUGAAACUGUUAUCAUCCCAUGCUAUGUUAAUAAUGUGGAGGCCACAAACAUUAAUGAAAUGUAUGUAAAGUGGAAAUUUAGAGGAAAAGACAUUUUCACCUUUGAUGGAGCUGUAGAAAAGACCACUCGCGACAAUAAAUUUAAGAGUACAAAAAUCAUACCACAGAAAUUACUAAAUGGCAUUGCCUCUUUGGAGAUGAACAAGGAAGAGGCUGUUGUAGGAAACUACACUUGUGAAGUAACAGAAUUAAGCAGAGAAGGCGAAACCAUCAUAGAACUAAAAUACCGUAUUGUUUCAUGGUUUUCUCCAAAUGAAAAUAUCCUCAUUGUCAUUUUCCCAAUUUUGGCUGUACUACUUUCUUGGGGACAGUUUGGUAUUGUGACACUUAAAUAUAAAUCCAGUCUCAUGAAGGAGAAAACCAUUCUUUUAUUUGUUGGUGGACUAGUGCUCACUAUAGCUGUCAUUGUUGGAGCCAUUCUUUUUGUCCCAGGUGAAUAUUCAACAAAGAAUUCUUGUGGACUUGGUUUAAUUGUGGUUCCUACAGUGAUUUUAAUAUUACUUCAGUACUGUGUGUUUAUGAUAGGUGUUUGGAUGUCUUCCUUCACCAUCGCCAUAUUGAUCCUUCAGGUACUGGGCUAUGUGCUCUCUGUGGUUGGACUAAGCCUCUGUGUCUCAGAGUGCACCCCAGUGAACGGCCCUCUUCUGAUUUCAGGUUUGGGUAUUAUAGCUCUAGCAGAAUUACUUGGAUUAGUUUAUAUGAAACUUGUUGCUUCCAAUCAGAAGACUAUACAACCUCCUAGGAACUGGAAAGUUUCUGUGUAAGAAUAAUGGUUAUUAUCUCUGCUGAAGGAAGCUGAUUCCAGUAUAUUGCCUCACCUAUUGGCUCCAUUUGAUAAAGCUGUAGAGGAACCCCUUAAUGAGUAACUGAAGUGAAGUGAUGGACUCUGAUUUGGAAAGUAGUAAGACAUGAAAGGAAUACAAUUGUGUUUAAGCACCAUGGCCUUGAUUCACUGUUCAGGAGAAGAAAACAAGAAAAAUUACUGGUUCUCAUCUGUGGGAGAAAGUAAAUCUUUGACCCUUAAAUGAUUGUUACAGUUAAGUUUUUAUUCAAAGCAUUUGUAAUUUAGUUAAUAAAAGAAUUAUUAUCUGUGUUGUGUGCCCAA